rnacentral:rRNA from 1 species
UACGUAGGGUGCAAGCGUUAAUCGGAAUACUGGGCGUAAAGCGUGCGCAGGCGGUGAUGUAAGACAGAUGUGGAAUCCCCGGGCUCAACCUGGGAACUGCAUUUGUGACUGCAUCGCUGGAGUGCGGCAGAGGGGGAUGGAAUUCCGCGUGUAGCAGUGAAAUGCGUAGAUAUGCGGAGGAACACCGAUGGCGAAGGCAAUCCCCUGGGCCUGCACUGACGCUCAUGCACGAAAGCGUGGGGAGCAAACAGG